GGGGAGCCUAAACUGCAGUCGAGCGAGCUUGCCUAGAUGAUUUUAGUGCUUGCACUAAAUGAAACUAGAUACAAGCGAGCGGCGGACGGGUGAGUAACACGUGGGUAACCUGCCCAAGAGACUGGGAUAACACCUGGAAACAGAUGCUAAUACCGGAUAACAACACUAGACGCAUGUCUAGAGUUUGAAAGAUGGUUCUGCUAUCACUCUUGGAUGGACCUGCGGUGCAUUAGCUAGUUGGUAAGGUAACGGCUUACCAAGGCAAUGAUGCAUAGCCGAGUUGAGAGACUGAUCGGCCACAUUGGGACUGAGACACGGCCCAAACUCCUACGGGAGGCAGCAGUAGGGAAUCUUCCACAAUGGACGAAAGUCUGAUGGAGCAACGCCGCGUGAGUGAAGAAGGGUUUCGGCUCGUAAAGCUCUGUUGGUAGUGAAGAAAGAUAGAGGUAGUAACUGGCCUUUAUUUGACGGUAAUUACUUAGAAAGUCACGGCUAACUACGUGCCAGCAGCCGCGGUAAUACGUAGGUGGCAAGCGUUGUCCGGAUUUAUUGGGCGUAAAGCGAGUGCAGGCGGUUCAAUAAGUCUGAUGUGAAAGCCUUCGGCUCAACCGGAGAAUUGCAUCAGAAACUGUUGAACUUGAGUGCAGAAGAGGAGAGUGGAACUCCAUGUGUAGCGGUGGAAUGCGUAGAUAUAUGGAAGAACACCAGUGGCGAAGGCGGCUCUCUGGUCUGCAACUGACGCUGAGGCUC
rnacentral:rRNA from 1 species